GACGAACGCUGGCGGCGUGCCUAAUACAUGCAAGUUGAGCGCUGAAGGUUGGUACUUGUACCAACUGGAUGAGCAGCGAACGGGUGAGUAACGCGUGGGGAAUCUGCCUUUGAGCGGGGGACAACAUUUGGAAACGAAUGCUAAUACCGCAUAAAAACUUUAAACACAAGUUUUAAGUUUGAAAGAUGCAAUUGCAUCACUCAAAGAUGAUCCCGCGUUGUAUUAGCUAGUUGGUGAGGUAAAGGCUCACCAAGGCGAUGAUACAUAGCCGACCUGAGAGGGUGAUCGGCCACAUUGGGAAUGAGACAAGGCCCAAACGCCUACGGGAGGCAGCAGUAGGGAAUCUUCGGCAAUGGACGAAAGUCUGACCGAGCAACGCCGCGUGAGUGAAGAAGGUUUUCGGAUCGUAAAACUCUGUUGGUAGAGAAGAACGUUGGUGAGAGUGGAAAGCUCAUCAAGUGACGGUAACUACCCAGAAAGGGACGGCUAACUACGUG
rnacentral:rRNA from 1 species